UUGCUUUGACAGCACAUAUGCUAAAAUUGGAACAAUACAGAGAAGAUUAGCUUGGCCACAGUGCAAGGAUGACACGCAAAUUCACAAAGCGUUCUAUAUUUUA
rnacentral:snRNA from 1 species